rnacentral:rRNA from 1 species
UACGAAGGGUGCAAGCGUUAAUCGGAAUUACUGGGCGUAAAGCGUGCGUAGGCGGUUUCUUAAGUCCGUUGUGAAAGCCCUGGGCUCAACCUGGGAACUGCGAUGGAUACUGAGGAGCUGGAGUACGGUAGAGGAAGGUGGAAUUCCCGGUGUAGCGGUGAAAUGCGUAGAUAUCUGGAGGAACACCGGUGGCGAAGGCGGCAUCCUGGACCGACACUGACGCUGAUGCGCGAAAGCCAGGGGAGCAAACGGG